rnacentral:rRNA from 1 species
AUCAACGCUGGCGGCGCGCUUAACACAUGCAAGUCGAACGAGAAAGGGGAGCAAUCCCUGAGUAAAGUGGCGUAGGCGGGUGAGUAACACGUGGAUGAUCUACCUCUUGGCGGGGAAUACCUCUGGGAAACCGGAGACAAUACCGCAUAAGCUCGGAAGAGGAAACCCGCAAGGGGCCGAGAGAGAGGAGUCCGCGGUCCGAUUAGCUAGGUUGGUAGGGUAAGAGCCUACCAAGGCAAAGAUCGAUAGCCGGCCUGAGAGGGCAACACGGCCACACUGGCACUGAAACACGGGCCAGACUCCUACGGGAGGCAGCAGUGGGGGAAUCUUGCACAAUGGGGGAAACCCUGAUGCAGCGACGCCGCGGUGAUGGCGAUGAAGCCCUUCGGGGUUGUAAAGCUCUUUCGACGGGAACGAUAAUGACGGUACCCGGAGAAGAAGCUGCGGCUAACUACGUGCCAGCAGCCGCGGUAAUACGUAGGCAGCAAGCGUUGGUUCGGAGUUACUGGGCGUAAAGAGUGCGUAGGUGGUGCCCUAAGUCUGUUGUGAAAUCUCCCCGGCUUAACUGGGAGGGUGCGGUGGAAACUGGGGUGCUUGAGUGUGGGAGAGGUAAGCGGAAUUCCUGGUGUAGCGGUGAAAUGCGUAGAUAUCAGGAGGAACACCGGUGGUGUAGACGGCUUACUGGACCACGACUGACACUGAGGCACGAAAGCGUGGGUAGGCAAACAGGAUUAGAUACCCUGGUAGUCCACGCCCUAAACGAUGCAUACUUGGUGUGAGCCAUUCAUUUGGUUCGUGCCGGAGCUAACGCGUUAAGUAUGCCGCCUGGGGAGUACGGUCGCAAGGCUGAACUUCAAAGGAAUUGACGGGGGCCCGCACAAGCGGUGGAGCAUGUGGUUUAAUUCGACGCAACGCGAAGAACCUUACCUGGGCUCGAACGGCUUCCCAACGACGCUGGAAACAGUGUUAUCCCCGCAAGGGAGUGGAGUCGAGGUGGCUGCAUGGCUGUCGUCAGCUUGUGUCGUGAGAUGUUGGGUUAAGUCCCGCAACGAGCGCAAACCCCUGUCCUGUGUUGCUAACCGAAAGGUGCACUCUCAGGAGACCCGCCAGCGAUAAGUUGGAGGAAGGUGGGGAUGACGUCAAGUCAUCAUGGCCUUUAUGUCCAGGGCUACACACGUGCUACAAUGGGCGGUACAAACCGACGCCAACCCGUGAGGGGGAGCAAAUCGGAAAAAACCGUUCUCAGUUCGGAUUGCAGGCUGCAACUCGCCUGCAUGAAGCUGGAAUCGCUAGUAAUGGUAUAUCAGAAUGAUACCGUGAAUACGUUCCCCGGGCCUUGUACACACCGCCCGUCACAUCACGAAAGUGGGUUUGUACUAGAAGUCUGCAGGCUAACCCGCAAGGGAGGCAGCGGCCCAAGGUAUGACUCAUGAUUGGGGUG